ACUUAAAUAGCUUAAGUUAGAGCAUGAUAUUGAAGAUAUCAGGGUAAUAGAUUUAUUUUUAAGUA
rnacentral:tRNA from 1 species